rnacentral:sRNA from 1 species
AACUAGCCCCGAUUGCAGCGGCAUCCUUUUGCGGAGCAUCGCGGAGCAAAAGAUACAGCGGAAAGCGGGAAACAGC